UGCGUAGGCGGAAUGAUAAGUUAGUGGUGAAAGCCCCCGGCUCAACCGGGGAACUGCCAUUAAUGCUGUCAUUCUUGAGUAUAGUUGAAGUGGGCGGAAUGUAUCAUGUAGCGGUGAAAUGCUUAGAUAUGAUACAGAACACCGAUAGCGUAGGCAGCUUGCUAAACUAUAACUGACGCUCAGGCACGAAAGCGUGGGGAGCAAACAGGAUUAGAUACCCUGGUAGUCC
rnacentral:rRNA from 1 species